rnacentral:rRNA from 1 species
AACGAACGCUGGCGGCAUGCCUAACACAUGCAAGUCGAACGAGGGCUUCGGCCCUAGUGGCGCACGGGUGAGUAACGCGUGGGAACCUGCCCUGUGGUACGGAAUAACUCCGGGAAACUGGAGCUAAUACAGUAUGUGUCCUGCGGGACAAAGAUUUAUCGCCAUGGGAUGGGCCCGCGUAGGAUUAGCUUGUUGGUGGGGUAACGGCCUACCAAGGCAACGAUCCUUAGCUGGUCUGAGAGGAUGAUCAGCCACACUGGGACUGAGACACGGCCCAGACUCCUACGGGAGGCAGCAGUGGGGAAUAUUGGACAAUGGGCGCAAGCCUGAUCCAGCAAUGCCGCGUGAGUGAUGAAGGCCUUCGGGUUGUAAAGCUCUUUCGCACGCGACGAUGAUGACGGUAGCGCGAGAAGAAGCCCCGGCUAACUUCGUGCCAGCCGCCGCCGUAAGAC